rnacentral:tRNA from 1 species
GGAUUGUGGCUCAGUGGUAGAGUGCUUGCCUAGCAUGUGUGAGGCACUGGGUUCAAUUCUCAGCACCA